rnacentral:rRNA from 1 species
UACGUAGGGACCAAGCGUUGUUCGGAUUUACUGGGCGUAAAGGGCUCGUAGGCGGCGCGGUAAGUCACUUGUGAAAUCUCUGAGCUUAACUCAGAACGGCCAAGUGAUACUGCAGUGCUAGAGUGUGGAAGGGGCAAUCGGAAUUCUUGGUGUAGCGGUGAAAUGCGUAGAUAUCAAGAGGAACACCUGAGGUGGAGACGGGUUGCUGGGCUGACACUGACGCUGAGUGCGCGAAAGCCAGGGGAGCAAACGGG